rnacentral:rRNA from 1 species
AGAGUUUGAUCAUGGCUCAGGAUGAACGCUGGCGGUAUGCCUUACACAUGCAAGUCGUACGAGAGUUUUUAACUCAAGUGGCGGACGGGUGAGUAACACGUAAGAAUUUGCCUUUAGGAGGGGGAUAACAUCUAGAAAUGGUUGCUAAUACCCCAUAUGCUUUCGAGUGAAAUGGAAUUUCCGCCUAAAGAGAAGCUUGCGGCUGAUUAGCUUGUUGGUGAGGUAAUGGCUCACCAAGGCGACGAUCAGUAUCUGGUUUGAGAGGACGAUCAGACACACUGGAACUGAGACACGGUCCAGACUCCUACGGGAGGCAGCAGUGGGGAAUUUUCCGCAAUGGGCGAAAGCCUGACGGAGCAAUACCGCGUGAGGGAUGACGGCCUAUGGGUUGUAAACCUCUUUUUUCAGGGAGGAAUCAAGUGACGUGUACCUGAAGAAUAAGCAUCGGCUAACUCCGUGCCAGCAGCCGCGGUAAGACGGAGGAUGCAAGUGUUAUCCGGAAUCACUGGGCGUAAAGCGUCUGUAGGUGGUCCAAUAAGUCAACUGUUAAAUCUUGGGGCUCAACCUCAAAAUCGCAGUCGAAACUAUUAGACUAGAGUAUAGUAGGGGUAAAGGGAAUUUCCAGUGGAGCGGUGAAAUGCGUAGAGAUUGGAAAGAACACCGAUGGCGAAGGC